rnacentral:rRNA from 1 species
AGAUUGAACGCUGGCGGCAUGCUUUACACAUGCAAGUCGAACGGUAACAGGCCGCAAGGUGCUGACGAGUGGCGAACGGGUGAGUAAUGUAUCGGAACGUGCCCAGUCGUGGGGGAUAACGCAGCGAAAGCUGCGCUAAUACCGCAUACGAUCUAUGGAUGAAAGCGGGGGACCGUAAGGCCUCGCGCGAUUGGAGCGGCCGAUAUCAGAUUAGGUAGUUGGUGGGGUAAAGGCUCACCAAGCCAACGAUCUGUAGCUGGUCUGAGAGGACGACCAGCCACACUGGGACUGAGACACGGCCCAGACUCCUACGGGAGGCAGCAGUGGGAAUUUUGGACAAUGGGCGCAAGCCUGAUCCAGCAAUGCCGCGUGCAGGAAGAAGGCCGUUCGGUUGUAAACUGUCUUUUGUACGGAACGUAACGGUCUAGGUUAAUACCGUAGGGACGUAAUAGUACGGUACCGUAAGAAUAACGACAACCGGACUAACGUACGUGACCAGCACGCGUA